GUGUUGUAUGAAAGGAGAGAAGGUUAGCACUCCCCUUGACAAGGCUGGAAGAGGCCCUUAGGCCUGACAACAUGCAUACAGUUAAGGCAUUGCCACCUUACUUCGGGGCAUCUAACCAUAGUUUCUA
ensembl:snRNA